AUAGCGUAUACUAAAGUUGUUGCAGUUAAAAAGCUCGUAGUUGAAUUUCUGGUCGUGAAAAGUGGUCCGUUCCGCAAGGAAUGUGUACUGUCUAUUCAUGUCCAUCCUCGGAGUUAGUGUGUAUUACUUUAAUCGGUCGUGCAUGCAAUACUUCGUCAUUUACUGUGAGCAAAAUAGAGUGUUCAAAGCAGGCUUAUGCCGUUGAAUAUAUUAGCAUGGAAUAAUAAGAUAUGACUUUGGUCUAUUUUGUUGGUUUGCACUCCAAAGUAAUGAUUAAUAGGGAUAGUUGGGGGUAUUCGUAUUCAAUUGUCAGAGGUGAAAUUCUUGGAUUUAUGGAAGACGAACUACUGCGAAAGCAUUUACCAAGGAUGUUUUCAUUAAUCAAGAACGAAAGUUAGGGGAUCGAAGAUGAUUAGAUACCAUCGUAGUCUUAACCAUAAACUAUGCCGACUAGGGAUUGGUGGUGUUUGUUAUGACUCCAUCANCACCUUAUGAGAAAUCAAAGUCUUUGGGUUCCGGGGGGAGUAUGGUCGCAAGGCUGAAACUUAA
rnacentral:rRNA from 1 species